CAUGGCAGUUCCUGUAGCCAGCUGCUUGUGUAGGAGCACUUUUUAAAGGAAGACACUUGUCUCAUUAGGUAAUUACCCCCGGAUGUUCUAGGCAAUGUUUAAUCAAUGCAUUUGAUAGGUAAACAUUAACCUUAUGUGCAGUCACAGUGAAGUCUUCCCGUUUCUGACACUGUCAGCCGGCAUGUAAUAUGACAACACUUUUAUUCUGUUUGUAUGUUGUCUUUUAUGUCUGAAGUCUUUCCCCCUGAAAUGUGUUACAAGGACUUUUAUUAUAAACCUGUAUAUUCAGUAAUUAGACCUUAGAGCUCUAGAACAUUUGGAGGACUGGUGGUGGAGAACUCAGUGGGAGAAUUAUCUUCAAUAUGGAUAAUAAGGACAUUGGACCCUGAGGGUGAUAAGUGAUCCAGGAAGGAGAUACAGGACUUCCACAAAUUAAGUUUUCUUUGGAAGACAAUGGUGCUUUGCAUCGCUGACCCACCAAGGAUGGACAAGGAGAGAAACCUGAUGGCUGCGAGAAUAUUAGACCUCACCCUAGAGAUCAUCUACCUUAUAACUGGAGAGGAUUACACAGUAGUGAAGAAGUCGUCUGGUGAGUGUGUGACACCCCAUGUGUCAGGAAAAUAGAGCAGGACCCCGGGAGCCAUCACCGAGCCUCCACCUCAUUCACUGAUACAUGAGCAGAAGAUCGUAGAACUUACCAACAGGAUCACAGAGCUGCUGACCGGAGAGGUUCCUAUAAGGUGUCAGGAUGUCACUGUCUAUUUCUCCAUGGAGGAGUGGGAGUAUUUAGAAGGGCACAAGGAUAUGUACAAGGACGUCAUGAUGGAGGAUCACCAUCCCCUCACAUCACCGAGUAAGAGACCUUCCUUCAUUAUAGAGGAUACCAGAUGAGUCCAAUAGAAGAAAUAUACCAGAGAGAUGUCCAAGUCCUCUUUAUUCCCAGGAUUGUUCAGAGGGAAAGCAAAAUGUCCCAAGGGAUCAUCAUCAGGUCCUUAAUGUAAUAUUCUUGCAGGAAAGAUAUGGUGAAACAAUGAGUGGACCUGAAAACCCCAUAUCAGAAUCAGUGAAUGGUGAAGACUGUAUGAGAGGCUCCGACUCAAAUCUCCUGUUAUCUCCUGCUUAUACGGUAGAAGAGAAUCCAUCACUGAUUAUCAAAAAUAGAACUGUACAUAGAGCAUGUUCUGAAUGUGGGAAGCUUUGUAAAAGUCCAUUUUCAUGCUCCGAAUGUGGGAAAUGUAUUCAACAUAAAACAAAUCUUGUGACACAUCAGCGAAUUCACACAGGAGAGAAGCCGUUUACCUGUUCAGAAUGUGGGACAUGUUUUAGUCAAAAAUCGAGUCUUAUGAGACAUAAGAGAAGUCACACAGGAGAGAAGCCAUAUUCAUGUUCAGAAUGUGGAAAGUGUUUCAGCCACAGAUCUAGUUUUCUGGGACAUCUGAGAAUUCACACAGGGGAGAAACCAUACUCAUGUUCACAGUGUGGAAGCAGAUUUAGUAAGAACACAAGUCUUGUUCUUCAUCUGAGAACUCACACAGGAGAGAAGCCGUAUUCAUGUUCAGAAUGUGGGAAAUGUUUUAGGCACAAAUCAGCUCUUGUGAGACAUCUAAAAAUUCACACAGGGGAGAAGCCUUUUUCAUGUGCAAUAUGUGGGAAACGUUGUAGCCGGAAAUCAUAUCUCGAGUCACAUCAGAGAACUCAUGCAGGUGAAAAGCCGUUAUAAUAUUCAGAUCAGAUUGUAUGAAAUGUGGGACAGUGUGGGACCUCUACAUCAGGAUACCUUGUAAUGUAUAAGUUAAAGUUGUUGUCCAGCAUUAGAAGAUCAGAGCUGCUUUCUUCUAAAACAAUGCCAUGCAUGGUCAUUUUGCAGUUCUGCUGUAUUCAUUUUAAUAGUGCUGUUGCCAUACCAGACAUAACGCAUGAACAGGUUCAGCACUGUAUAUGAAAAAAAAACAUCCAAGUUUUUUUAGCUGGGAGGAGAGAGGAGAAGGAGAAGAGGCAGGACGUGGAGCGCCUGGAAGUGUGGCUUUGUGGGUACUGACGGCGUUGCUCCCAAUGGGCUCGUGAUGGGAGGCCAGGUGCCUUCUUAAGGCAGUUGUCCCUAGGUCAGUGUUGGGCUUAUCGCGACUUAUGCGUUGACAGCACAGGCUGCAGAUGGCAACACUAUUGUCAGCAGCUGACAUUUAAAAAAAAAAAAACACUGUGGAGCCAUGUGCCGGCGUCCUGGGAGCGCCAGAUGUAACUGUGCAUGGUGGAUGGCUUGCUCCAGAUACAUUUGCAGUCUUCUUUUUGCCUCCUGUGCCCUGGAAACUCUGUCUGCUUCUCAUC